UCUACAAGGUUUCCGUAGGUGAACCUGCGGAAGGAUCAUUA
rnacentral:rRNA from 1 species